rnacentral:lncRNA from 1 species
UGCCUUGAGGUAGAUAGUAGGUUAAUUUAGUCUACAGUCUAUGCUAAAGAGAAUGAAGGAGCGAGAAAGUGAGAGUGUGAGAGAGAGAUUGUGGUUGAUUGUAACGACCAUCUUUCGGCCCUUGCGUCAUCAGGUUAUUUCCGACGCCGGUUCUCGUCGCCAUCGUGUUAUCGACUAGCUCUACGUCUGGAUGAAGUUGUCUUUUUCUCGAUGGUGCAACUCUGUCAGAAGCUCCCAGGUGUAAUUCUGUCAAAAGAUCAUUGGUGCAAGUAUUUCGGUACGUCUUUUCCAUCUCCGUUUAUAUCAACUAGUCUCCUUAUUGUUGGAUCGAGAUCCGAGGCUAUAAGAGGUGAUAAUAACCUCUUUUUCGAUUAGGCAGGUCAAAUACGGAAUUACCUGUAAA